GACGAACGCUGGCGGCGUGCUUAACACAUGCAAGUCGAACGGAAAGGCCCUGCUUUUGUGGGGUGCUCGAGUGGCGCACGUGUGAGACACACGAGUGUAACCUGCGCUUGCCUUUGGGAUAACUUCAAGAAACUGGGGCUAAUACCGGAUAUGAGCUCCUGCUGCGUGGUGUGGGUUGGAUAGUUUCGGCGGUUGGGGAUGGACUCGCGGCUUAUCUGCUGGUUGGUGGGGUGGUGGCUUACCAAGGCUUUGACGGGUAGCCGGCCUGGGAGGGUGACCGGCGACAUUGGGACUGAGAUACGGCCCGGACGCCUACGGGAGGCAGCAGUGGGGAAUAUUGCACAAUGGGCGGAAGCCUGAUGCAGCGACGCCGCGUGCGGGAUGACGGCCUUCGGGUUGUAAACCGCUUGCGCCUGGGACGAAGCGUGAGUGACGGUAAUGGGUAAAGAAGCACCGGCUAACUACGUG
rnacentral:rRNA from 1 species